ACCCAAAAACUAAAUCAUGAAAAUCCGUC
rnacentral:sRNA from 1 species